rnacentral:rRNA from 1 species
UCUUAGUGGCGGACGGGUGAGUAACGCGUGGGUAACCUGCCUUAUACAGGGGGAUAACACCUAGAAAUAGGUGCUAAUACCGCAUAAGCGCACGGGGCUGCAUGGCCCAGUGUGAAAAACUCCGGUGGUAUAAGAUGGACCCGCGUCUGAUUAGCUUGUUGGCGGGGUAACGGCCCACCAAGGCGACGAUCAGUAGCCGGCCUGAGAGGGUGGACGGCCACAUUGGGACUGAGACACGGCCCAAACUCCUACGGAAGGCAGCAG